rnacentral:rRNA from 1 species
AUGUGGCACACUGAUCCAGGAAAAUUCUAUGGCCUCCGAGCUGAAAUGAGUAUAUGGGCUUCACCAAAUCAAGAGAACUCUCAAGAAUCUGGAGCAUCCUUACAGAUUUAUUGUCAAGAUGGAGAAAAAUACAACUUAAUUCAAACUGGAUUUCAUGUCUCACCCUCUUUGUACAAUAACAGAGAUAUUCGAUUCUUUACAUAUUGGACUAAAGACUUGAAAUCAAGGGGGUGCUACAACUCGCAAUGCAAGGGUUUUGUACCUGCAAGUGGAGCUGAAUUGGUGCCUGGGCAAGCCAUUGCCCCUCCAUCAAUUCAUGGCGAACAAGACCACUACAUUAGGCUUAGCCUCAACAAGGAUCAAAAUUCAGGAGAUUGGGUGGUAUAUCGUCAUGAUUUAGAAAAACCAUCAUUUUUGGGGCAUUUUCCGGAGGAGCUUUGCCCCAGAACCCGCCAAAUGCAAGCAUUGACUGGAUUUGUGAAUUACUUCAAGAAUGCACAUGGUCCUCCUAUGGGUAGCGGCCACUUUCCCAAUGAUGAUGAUAAAAGAUCAGCCUACUUCAGGCGGGUUAAGAACUACAACUCCAAGGGCCAAGCUUUCAACCCCUUUAACACUCAAAUGGUCUGUUUAGUUGAUAGGCCAGAUUGUUAUAACGUAGAUGAUUUCCUUCUUGAAUUUAAGGAGGGUUAUUCAUUCCACUAUGGUGGACCAAGUGGUUGUAUUGGCUGA